rnacentral:lncRNA from 12 species
AUGCUCAGAGAAAGGUAUCAUCAGUUUCCUCAUCAGCCAACUGAAAGAGUGAAUGAAAAGCUCCUCAAUGCACUAGAUACCCAAGAGGUCUUGAUAAACCUUCCUGAUUUCCCCCACUUGUCUCUAAAAGAAGUUCAAAGUGGAGACUUGAACCUUGAAACUUACCCAUGUAUCACGUUUGAUAUCCUGAAGAGAUACGGUCUUUUAAUAAAUAAAUAUGCCUUGCAUCAUCAAGUGCCUAGCAACUUUCAAAGCACUCAAGCAGUACACAAUGACAUACAUUUGAAGCAACUAAAAACAAGAGAGAACUUGAGAAAACUUCAACCCACUGGGAGGACCCAGAGCACCAGUCUCCCCUGUUGUCCUGGGAUAAUAAUCGACAGUGAUUUCUGCUGUCGUCUGUAGAGUCAUAGAGGGAAAAGGAGUCUCUCAAGUUAUCAGCCCGUCCCUCAUUUGAGCUGACAACAACUUAUCCAAUGCCGCAUGAUUUGGUGAUUCCUGAAGACAAGAGCAAGGGAGGUCAUGUAGAAUUGUGAGCUAAGCUGAGCUUGUAUCUCUUGCUCUCUCUACAUAAUAUACCUUUACCUGCUCAAACUACAAAAAAAAAUAUUUAUUCUCAUCUAAUCUGAAGGAAUGCACAACUUUAAAUCUCUUACACCAGCCAAGAACAAAUGCAUUUUUCAAGAUACAUCUUUACUGUAGUCUCAUAGUUCUGUUUCCAAAAAAACCAAUAAACAAAAAUCUCUUAUGCA